ACCCUUUUGUGGACCAUGAGCAUGGUGACUGAGCAUUCACGCUGUUGCGUGAGAUGUGUCUCCCCGAAACCUUGCUACCUCCUCACCGUUACCUGUCUGAUG
ensembl:snoRNA